rnacentral:rRNA from 1 species
GACGAACGCUGGCGGCGUGCCUAAUACAUGCAAGUAGAACGCUGAAGGAGGAGCUUGCUUCUCUGGAUGAGUUGCGAACGGGUGAGUAACGCGUAGGUAACCUGCCUGGUAGCGGGGGAUAACUAUUGGAAACGAUAGCUAAUACCGCAUAAGAUUGACUAUUGCAUGAUAGUCAGUUAAAAGGUGCAAUGGCAUCACUACCGAAGGACCCUGCGUUGUAUUAGCUAGUUGGUGGGGUAACGGCUCACCAAGGCGACGAUACAUAGCCGACCUGAGAGGGUGAUCGGCCACACUGGGACUGAGACACGGCCCAGACUCCUACGGGAGGCAGCAGUAGGGAAUCUUCGGCAAUGGACGGAAGUCUGACCGAGCAACGCCGCGUGAGUGAAGAAGGUUUUCGGAUCGUAAAGCUCUGUUGUAAGAGAAGAACGAGUGUGAGAGUGGAAAGUUCACACUGUGACGGUAUCUUACCAGAAAGGGACGGCUAACUACGUG